UACGAAGGGGGCUAGCGUUGUUCGGAUUUACUGGGCGUAAAGCGCACGUAGGCGGAUCGUUAAGUCGGGGGGUGAAAUCCUGGAGCUCAAUCUCCAGAACUGCCUUCGAUACUGGCGAUCUCGAGUCCGGAAGAGGUGAGUGGAACUCCUAGUGUAGAGGUGGAAUUCGUAGAUAUUAGGAAGAACACCAGUGGCGAAGGCGGCUCACGUGGUC
rnacentral:rRNA from 1 species